rnacentral:tRNA from 1 species
GGGGGUAUAGCUCAGGGGUAGAGUGCCUGCUUAGCAUGCACAAGGUCCUGGGUUCAAUCCCCAGUGCCUCCA